UCUCCGUUGGUGAACCAGCGGAGGGAUCAUUACAGGGUUGCGAGUCUCAUAAAUCCACCGUGAACCUCCCGUACGUUGCCUCCGCGGGCGGCCCCAGGGCGGAGCCCCCCGGCCUGCCAUCGUCGAGGCGCCCGCCGGCGGCCAACCAGGAUUCUGUCUGUACAAAUGACCUCUGAGCAACGUGUUUAACGAAGUCAAAACUUUCAACAACGGAUCUCUUGGUUCUG
rnacentral:misc_RNA from 1 species